AGAGUUUGAUCAUGGCUCAGAUUGAACGCUGGCGGCAGGCCUAACACAUGCAAGUCGAGCGGUAGCACAGAGAGCUUGCUCUCGGGUGACGAGCGGCGGACGGGUGAGUAAUGUCUGGGAAACUGCCUGAUGGAGGGGGAUAACUACUGGAAACGGUAGCUAAUACCGCAUAAUGUCGCAAGACCAAAGUGGGGGACCUUCGGGCCUCAUGCCAUCAGAUGUGCCCAGAUGGGAUUAGCUAGUAGGUGGGGUAAUGGCUCACCUAGGCGACGAUCCCUAGCUGGUCUGAGAGGAUGACCAGCCACACUGGAACUGAGACACGGUCCAGACUCCUACGGGAGGCAGCAGUGGGGAAUAUUGCACAAUGGGCGCAAGCCUGAUGCAGCCAUGCCGCGUGUGUGAAGAAGGCCUUCGGGUUGUAAAGCACUUUCAGCGGGGAGGAAGGCGUUAAGGUUAAUAACCUUGGCGAUUGACGUUACCCGCAGAAGAAGCACCGGCUAACUCCGUGCCAGCAGCCGCGGUAAUACGGAGGGUGCAAGCGUUAAUCGGAAUUACUGGGCGUAAAGCGCACGCAGGCGGUCUGUCAAGUCGGAUGUGAAAUCCCCGGGCUCAACCUGGGAACUGCAUUCGAAACUGGCAGGCUAGAGUCUUGUAGAGGGGGGUAGAAUUCCAGGUGUAGCGGUGAAAUGCGUAGAGAUCUGGAGGAAUACCGGUGGCGAAGGCGGCCCCCUGGACAAAGACUGACGCUCAGGUGCGAAAGCGUGGGGAGCAAACAGGAUUAGAUACCCUGGUAGUCCACGCCGUAAACGAUGUCGAUUUGGAGGUUGUGCCCUUGAGGCGUGGCUUCCGGAGCUAACGCGUUAAAUCGACCGCCUGGGGAGUACGGCCGCAAGGUUAAAACUCAAAUGAAUUGACGGGGGCCCGCACAAGCGGUGGAGCAUGUGGUUUAAUUCGAUGCAACGCGAAGAACCUUACCUGGUCUUGACAUCCACAGAACUUUCCAGAGAUGGAUUGGUGCCUUCGGGAACUGUGAGACAGGUGCUGCAUGGCUGUCGUCAGCUCGUGUUGUGAAAUGUUGGGUUAAGUCCCGCAACGAGCGCAACCCUUAUCCUUUGUUGCCAGCGGUCCGGCCGGGAACUCAAAGGAGACUGCCAGUGAUAAACUGGAGGAAGGUGGGGAUGACGUCAAGUCAUCAUGGCCCUUACGACCAGGGCUACACACGUGCUACAAUGGCAUAUACAAAGAGAAGCGACCUCGCGAGAGCAAGCGGACCUCAUAAAGUAUGUCGUAGUCCGGAUUGGAGUCUGCAACUCGACUCCAUGAAGUCGGAAUCGCUAGUAAUCGUAGAUCAGAAUGCUACGGUGAAUACGUUCCCGGGCCUUGUACACACCGCCCGUCACACCAUGGGAGUGGGUUGCAAAAGAAGUAGGUAGCUUAACCUUCGGGAGGGCGCUUACCACUUUGUGAUUCAUGACUGGGGUGAAGUCGUAACAAGGUAACCGUAGGGGAACCUGCGGUUG
rnacentral:rRNA from 1 species